GAGGGAGGGCCCCUCGGAAUCGCUGUUCAGGCAGAGAUUUCAAAUCACCUUAAGGUGCUGUCGGGUAAACCGGUGGUGCUGAGCGUUAAGGAAAAGGCAGGGAAAGACCUGUCAGA
rfam:Peptococcaceae bacterium 1109 scaffold00001, whole genome shotgun sequence.